GACGAACGCUGGCGGCGUGCCUAAUACAUGCAAGUUGAGCGAUGAAGAUUGGUGCUUGCACCAAUUUGAAGAGCAGCGAACGGGUGAGUAACGCGUGGGGAAUCUGCCUUUGAGCGGGGGACAACAUUUGGAAACGAAUGCUAAUACCGCAUAACAACUUUAAACAUAAGUUUUAAGUUUGAAAGAUGCAAUUGCAUCACUCAAAGAUGAUCCCGCGUUGUAUUAGCUAGUUGGUGAGGUAAAGGCUCACCAAGGCGAUGAUACAUAGCCGACCUGAGAGGGUGAUCGGCCACAUUGGGACUGAGACACGGCCCAAACUCCUACGGGAGGCAGCAGUAGGGAAUCUUCGGCAAUAGACGAAAGUCUGACCGAGCAACGCCGCGGGAGUGAAGAAGGUUGUCGGAUCGUAAAACUCUGUUGGUAGAGAAGAACGUUGGUGAGAGUGGAAAGCUCAUCAAGUGACGGUAACUACCCAGAAAGGGACGGCUAACUACGUG
rnacentral:rRNA from 1 species